AUUUUAACUCGGAGUAAGCAUAAAUUAAUGAGUUCAGUCAAUCAUCUAAAAGAACUGAUUGAAAAUUCCAUUGUAGCAUAAAUUAAUGAGUUCAGUCAAUCAUCUAAAAGAACUGAUUGAAAAUUCCAUUUUCCAUUGCUUUUCUUGCAGCAUUUCCAUAAUAUCCAUUGGUUCUUUUAUAGCUUCUAGCUCUUUGCAAAACUAUAUGAAAGGAACCUUUCAAGAGCUGCAAAAAAAUUUAUCAGAACUGAAAUGACUGAACAGUUGGGUUUUAGUGGAACGUUCGGUUCUUUUUGGGUCAGCUAAUGUUGGUUCCCUCGAACUCCAACCAAAACUUAAAAUAGGUAUAACUGGCUGCAAACCAGCUUAUAAACCGACCAGUUGAUAUUUCUGUAAAGUGGUUCAAGAAAGCAUGAAGCAUUCGGCUUUCUGUUCAGCUCGGCUUGCUGAGAAAACAAAUGAACCACUGUUUGUCCGCCCCUGCUUAUUGGAUAGACUGUCUUACUAAGAAGAUGUUGGAGUGUCAGUGUCUUUUGUACUUAUGGACACUGCAUUGAUCCGUAACUUUGAUUUUCUCACUACUUUUAGCAUGUUGCUUAAUUGUAAUAACUACUUAAGUACAUUUAGUUUCACUUCUACAUAACUGC
rnacentral:lncRNA from 1 species